rnacentral:rRNA from 1 species
UACGUGGGGUCCAAGCGUUGUCCGGAGUUACUGGGCGUAAAGCGCGCGCAGGCGGCGGUGCUGGCCCGGCGUGAAAGCCCCCGGCUCAACCGGGGAGGGUCGUCGGGGACCGCACCGCUUGAGGGCGGUAGGGGCUGGUGGAAUGCCUGGUGUAGUGGUGAAAUGCGUAGAGAUCAGGCGGAACACCCGUGGCGAAGGCGGCCAGCUGGGCCGUCCCUGACGCUGAGGCGCGAAGGCGUGGGGAGCGAACGGG